rnacentral:rRNA from 1 species
AUUGAACGCUGGCGGCAGGCCUAACACAUGCAAGUCGAGCGGAUGAAGGGAGCUUGCGCCUGGAUUCAGCGGCGGACGGGUGAGUAAUGCCUAGGAAUCUGCCUGGUAGUGGGGGAUAACGUCCGGAAACGGGCGCUAAUACCGCAUACGUCCUGAGGGAGAAAGUGGGGGAUCUUCGGACCUCACGCUAUCAGAUGAGCCUAGGUCGGAUUAGCUAGUUGGUGGGGUAAAGGCCUACCAAGGCGACGAUCCGUAACUGGUCUGAGAGGAUGAUCAGUCACACUGGAACUGAGACACGGUCCAGACUCCUACGGGAGGCAGCAGUGGGGAAUAUUGGACAAUGGGCGAAAGCCUGAUCCAGCCAUGCCGCGUGUGUGAAGAAGGUCUUCGGAUUGUAAAGCACUUUAAGUUGGGAGGAAGGGCAGUAAGUUAAUACCUGGCUGUUUUGACGUUACCAACAGAAUAAGCACCGGCUAACUUCGUG